rnacentral:rRNA from 1 species
GACGGGGGGGCUAGCGUUAUUCGGAAUGACUAGGCGUAAAGGGCACGUAGGCGGUGAAUCCGGUUGAAAGUGAAAGUCGCCAGCUCAACUGGCGGAAUGCUUUCAAAACCAAUUCACUUGAGUAAGAUAGAGGAUAGUGGAAUUUCGUGUGUAGAGAUAAAAUUCACAGAUAUACGAAGGAACACCAAAAGCGAAGGCAGCUUUCUGGGUCUCUACUGACGCUAAGGUGCGAAAGCAUAGGGAGCAAACAGG